CAACUGGGGAACAUUCCAGUGUAAUGUUUUGCCAGCAGCAAUCUCUCAAAGUGCUUAGAAGUCUCUGUCUAAAGCUGAGCAGCAGUGAAACAAGGAAAGGAUGGUGAUUAAUAGAGGAUUACUUAUGCACCUUAAGAUAAGAUGAAAAGCUGGAGUGAUUAAGUUGGAAGUUCCUUCCUCUGAAGAAGUGUGUUGAUUCUAGUCUAUUAACUGCAGAAGAGCAAAAGUCCUGUCUUAUUCCACCUUCAGUCUGACCACAGCCUUUUUGGAAGUUUAUGGUCAUGUCCGUAUCCAAAGGGCAGAGUGUCUCAAAGAUGUCUUCAAUAAUCUCAGUGAAGAUCCAGGAUCCCAGGAGAUCAUUUGCAGCUCUUUAACAAGGAAGAGCUCCAUGUUUUUGUACAGAUUGCUAAUCAUAUUUCAAACCAGAACCACCUGCUGAAAACCUGCAGAAACAAAAGUGGAAGGAUUCUUAAUGUCCUCAUUUGAGAGGAGGUUAUAGCACAAUGUUAUUAAGAUCAAACUGCCUCGUGCUUGAAAUCAAGAACAAACCACUCUUCUUUGACAAAAAGGUAGGAUUUCCCUCAGCUUGUACUCAGAUUUUCCCUUAGGUUAAGCUUUAGUCAAAAGAGAAGUGGUGCCUGAUUAAAAGGUGGGAUAAAUGAACUCAAGUGCUUUCUGAAGGGAAAUACAGACCUCAGAGCUCUC